AGCAAAAAGGUCAACAUGCUUGCCUCUUUAUUCCCAACACCAAAAAUAACCCCCUGACCGAAAGAACUCUUCAAUUACAAAUACCAGGGGCAUUCGAGGCUGUGGCCCGCACUAAGUCCCAGAGCGCGGUAUCAAACGAAACCGAAAAUCCGUCUGCUUUGCCGAGAGCUAGGGAAGCCACAACCAAACAAAGAGAUCCCGGCACGCUGUCAGAGAGCGCGCGAGGAGCCCACGGAGCCGGCUGGGCGCACGCGGGCCGGCGGGGAGGUGUGCUAUUGACUGAGCGCACCCCGCUAGCGUGGGCCUGGGGAGCGUGUGCGCGUGCGCGGCCACACACACACACACACACACACACACACACACACACACACACCGGCGUACUGGAACCUCUCUCGCGAUCCCGCACCCAGCUUGAAUUCAGCAAGAAUCGAAAACAGGUGUGCCCCCGUGUCCAACAACCGUCGUAUCUACAGCGAUCCUUAGAGAACAAUUAAGGCCAGUUGACAGUAAAGAACAAUCAGUGUGUAUUUGAAGUCCAUGCUGAGAGAGCAUCAAUCUUCUGGCAGCUGCAAGACUGACCUAUCAACCGAGGCAUUUCUUCAUUCCCUGCCAUUGUCUCCUCCUCUUGAGAUCGCCAUCAGGCACAGUCACUUUUCUACAAACAGGCAAUAGGACUCCCGCUGCCACCCUGCCCAGAUUUUAGUCCUCUACUGCUGAUAAAGUGAGCAAAGAUACGUGGCACUUCCUGAACCCAAAUACUCUUCUGAGCUGAUUCUAAAUCCACACAGAAUCAACCUACCUCCUAUUACCUCCUUCCAAGCUCUGUGUCCCAUUCUCUCAUUUCAGUCUCAGCUCCAGACAUCAGUGAAUUCAAUGUGAUACAUCAGGGGACAUCACAGGACUUCCCUACUUGAAAAUCAAGCAAUCGUGUCCCUGAAACACUCUGUCUUUAUUCAUGCUCAGUUACCGUAAAGUAGAUGCAACUCUAAGAACCUAUGGAUUUUUUUAUUGCCACUAAUAGAUCAUGAUUUACAGCAAAAUUUUAAAAGGUCCAAUUUUACUCACAUAAGAAGAAGAAAACAUUCAGCAAGAAGCAUUUCUUUUGCUUUAUCUUUCCCAGUUAAAUAUGACUUUAAAAAAGACAAAAUUUUAAAAGGUCCAAUUUUACUCACAAAAGAAGAAGAAAACAUUCAGCAAGAAGCAUUUCUUUUGCUUUAUCUUUCCCAGUUAAAUAUGACUUUAAAAAAGACAAAAUUUUAAAAGGUCCAAUUUUACUCACAUAGGAAACAAGAAGAAAACAUUCAGCAAGAAGCAUUUCUUUUGCUUUAUCUUUCCCAGUUAAAUAUGACUUUGAAAAAGAAGAGCACACCUCAUUAGCCGUAAUUGUCUGAUUAAUACAAAGAAAUGGACUCAUAUCACGGGGUUCUACUACCCCUAUGGUAGUGUUUACUAUCCUUAUUUCACUCAAUAAUUACAGUUACUUUAACCAGAAUGCCUGCCUUGUUUGGCAUUUUGGGAGAGGAAGCAUAUGACUGUAAACCCUCUUCAAACUUUCAGACUUACGUUUGCUUCUUCUAAGUCCAUCGACUUUAUACAUAAAUGACUUCUUUUUAAAAAUAAAUAAAUAAAUAAAUAAAUAAAUGAUUUCUUUCCUGAUCUUCAUAUAACAAGUAUGUAGCCUUUGCAAUUUCCAGGGCAGUCUACAGGUUUAAAA
rnacentral:lncRNA from 1 species